rnacentral:lncRNA from 1 species
AGAGUUGAGGAGGUGAAAGUUUUUUAUUUGUGUUCUGGACAGGUCGAAUUUCCUGUCCCAUUGUCCCUUGAAGUAGAGUGCGUUUGCUAGCACCAGAGUCGUAUCUUCUUUCAGGCUUCCUUCAGGUAAGAGGGUUUUGAUGAGUCCUUUAGUGGCUUGAUUCGCCCACGAAUUGAUCGAAUCCGCUACUUCUUUUGCGUUGCUGGUGAAAUCCACUUGUUUGGCAGUGGAGCUGUAAAUUUCUGAGGCGACUUUCUGAAAUGCAGGCUUAAGCUUGAACUUUUGAUCGACCCAUGCAGUGUUGAGGAAUGAAACGAUGGGGCUGGCGAUACUAGAGGGGAGGAAAUUUAUCUGUGAGGUUAGAGAAUUGAGUUCUUCCAAGCUAUUAGAACCCAGAAUCGGGA